rnacentral:rRNA from 1 species
CCUACGGGUGGCAGCAGUGAGGAAUAUUGGUCAAUGGGCGCGAGCCUGAACCAGCCAAGUAGCGUGAAGGAUGACUGCCCUACGGGUUGUAAACUUCUUUUAUAAAGGAAUAAAGAGAGGCACGUGUGCCUUUUUGUAUGUACUUUAUGAAAAAGCAUCGGCUAACUCCGUGCCAGCAGCCGCGGUAAUACGGAGGAUCCGAGCGUUAUACGGAUUUAUUGGGUUUAAAGGGAGCGUAGAUGGGUUGUUAAGUAAGUUGUGAAAGUGUGCGGCUCAACCGUAAAAUUGCAAUUGAAACUGGCAGUCUUGAGUACAGUUGAGGUAGGUGGAAUGCGUGGUGUAGCGGUGAAAUGCUUAGAUAUCACGAAGAACUCCGAUUGCGAAGGCAGCUUACUAAACUGCCACUGACAUUGAUGCUCGAAAGCAUGGGGAUCAAACAGGAUUAGAUACCCCUGUAGUC